CUAUAUAUUAAUUUUCUCUUCAUACGGAAUCUAGAAUUGAACUCCUUCAAAAGUUUGACCGAACUGCCAAUCCUUAGGAACAACAUCGUAGCUCACAACACUCCGACCAUCGCUCGUAGUGACUUGAAAAGAAAGGCUUUGACCUCUGAGAGCUACAGCCAUAACAUCUCCAGCACCACCCACGUUUGUGAUCAGCACAAGAUCAAGCUCGGUACUGAGCGAUCUGGAGAAAGGCAGGCUGGGCCAAGUCAAAGUGCUGAAGGGGAGGAUUGCACCAACCACCAUUAUCGUUGGCUAAGGCAUAGUUUGGUGGACAAAAGUUUGUAGCCGAGACGAUGAGGGAACCACCGAGGCACCACUGAGGAUCAUCCACACAACGUAGCUCAAAACAGGCACCGCAACUCUGACCGCUUCUGGAAAAUACGUCAAAUGGACCCCUUCGUUUCGAUCUACAGUUGGGCAUCACUUUAUUUAUCAUGAAUUAUCGUAUCAGUCUUACGAAAUUGCUUUUAAGCUCUAAGUUAGAGCAAUUACGAACAAAAGAAUGAAGUUUGUUUACUUUUUUUUGGUAAAUGUAGAAAUGAAAUGAAGCUUGUUGCAUCCUUGAAUCAAUCAUAUAGA